GAGUUUGAUCAUGGCUCAGAUUGAACGCUGGCGGCAGGCCUAACACAUGCAAGUCGAACGGUAACAGGAAGAAGCUUGCUUCUUUGCUGACGAGUGGCGGACGGGUGAGUAAUGUCUGGGAAACUGCCUGAUGGAGGGGGAUAACUACUGGAAACGGUAGCUAAUACCGCAUAACGUCGCAAGACCAAAGAGGGGGACCUUCGGGCCUCUUGCCAUCGGAUGUGCCCAGAUGGGAUUAGCUAGUAGGUGGGGUAACGGCUCACCUAGGCGACGAUCCCUAGCUGGUCUGAGAGGAUGACCAGCCACACUGGAACUGAGACACGGUCCAGACUCCUACGGGAGGCAGCAGUGGGGAAUAUUGCACAAUGGGCGCAAGCCUGAUGCAGCCAUGCCGCGUGUAUGAAGAAGGCCUUCGGGUUGUAAAGUACUUUCAGCGGGGAGGAAGGGAGUAAAGUUAAUACCUUUGCUCAUUGACGUUACCCGCAGAAGAAGCACCGGCUAACUCCGUGCCAGCAGCCGCGGUAAUACGGAGGGUGCGAGCGUUAAUCGGAAUUACUGGGCGUAAAGCGCACGCAGGCGGUUUGUUAAGUCAGAUGUGAAAUCCCCGGGCUCAACCUGGGAACUGCAUCUGAUACUGGCAAGCUUGAGUCUCGUAGAGGGGGGUAGAAUUCCAGGUGUAGCGGUGAAAUGCGUAGAGAUCUGGAGGAAUACCGGUGGCGAAGGCGGCCCCCUGGACGAAGACUGACGCUCAGGUGCGAAAGCGUGGGGAGCAAACAGGAUUAGAUACCCUGGUAGUCCACGCCGUAAACGAUGUCGACUUGGAGGUUGUGCCCUUGAGGCGUGGCUUCCGGAGCUAACGCGUUAAGUCGACCGCCUGGGGAGUACGGCCGCAAGGUUAAAACUCAAAUGAAUUGACGGGGGCCCGCACAAGCGGUGGAGCAUGUGGUUUAAUUCGAUGCAACGCGAAGAACCUUACCUGGUCUUGACAUCCACGGAAGUUUUCAGAGAUGAGAAUGUGCCUUCGGGAACCGUGAGACAGGUGCUGCAUGGCUGUCGUCAGCUCGUGUUGUGAAAUGUUGGGUUAAGUCCCGCAACGAGCGCAACCCUUGUCCUUUGUUGCCAGCGGUCCGGCCGGGAACUCAAAGGAGACUGCCAGUGAUAAACUGGAGGAAGGUGGGGAUGACGUCAAGUCAUCAUGCCCCUUACGACCAGGGCUACACACGUGCUACAAUGGCGCAUACAAAGAGAAGCGACCUCGCGAGAGCAAGCGGACCUCAUAAAGUGCGUCGUAGUCCGGAUUGGAGUCUGCAACUCGACUCCAUGAAGUCGGAAUCGCUAGUAAUCGUGGAUCAGAAUGCCACGGUGAAUACGUUCCCGGGCCUUGUACACACCGCCCGUCACACCAUGGGAGUGGGUUGCAAAAGAAGUAGGUAGCUUAACCUUCGGGAGGGCGCUUACCACUUUGUGAUUCAUGACUGGGGUGAAGUCGAAACAAGGUA
rnacentral:rRNA from 1 species